CCGAGUUAUACAACUCAUCAACCCUGUGAACAUACCUAUAACGUUGCCUCGGCGGGAACAGACGGCCCCGUAACACGGGCCGCCCCCGCCAGAGGACCCCCUAACUCUGUUUCUAUAAUGUUUCUUCUGAGCAAACAAGCAAAUAAAUUA
rnacentral:misc_RNA from 1 species